UUGACCUCGAAUCAGGUAGGGAUACCCGCUGAACUUAAGCAUAUCAAUAAGCGGAGGAAAAGAAACCAACCGGGAUUACCCUAGUAACGGCGAAUGAA
rnacentral:rRNA from 1 species